rnacentral:tRNA from 1 species
CAGAUUAUCACUGUUAGGGUGAAUUGUUUUUUACAAGAAUGAUUAUAUUUGUGCAAUUCAAAUUGAUCUGA